rnacentral:rRNA from 1 species
UUGGAGGGCAAGUCUGGUGCCAGCAGCCGCGGUAAUUCCAGCUCCAAUAGCGUAUAUUAAAGUUGUUGCAGUUAAAAAGCUCGUAGUUGAAUUUCGAGAUCAAAUUGUUGGUCGUGCCUCGGUACGUACUGGCAUUAUUGAUUUCUCCUUUCUGAAGAACCUUGAUGUCAUUAAUUUGGUGUCUUGGGGAAUCAGGACCGUUACUUUGAAAAAAUUAGAGUGUUUAAAGCAGGCUUACGCUUGAAUACAUUAGCAUGGAAUAAUGAAAUAGGACGUUUGAUUCUACUUUGUUGGUUUCUAGGAUCGACGUAAUGAUUAAUAGGGAUAGUUGGGGGCAUUAGUAUUCAAUUGUCAGAGGUGAAAUUCUUGGAUUUAUUGAAGACUAACUACUGCGAAAGCAUUUGCCAAGGAUGUUUUCAUUAAUCAAGAACGAAAGUUAGGGGAUCGAAGACGAUCAGAUACCGUCGUAGUCUUAACCAUAAACUAUGCCGACUAGGGAUCGGAUGAUGUUAAUUUUUUAAUGACUCAUUCGGCGCUUAC